rnacentral:rRNA from 1 species
UACGUAGGGGGCAAGCGUUGUCCGGAAUCAUUGGGCGUAAAGAGCGUGUAGGCGGCUCGGUAAGUCCGUUGUGAAAGUCAAAGGCUCAACCUUUGAAAGCCGAUGGAUACUGCAGGGCUAGAGUCCGGAAGAGGCGAGUGGAAUUCCUGGUGUAGCGGUGGAAUGCGCAGAUAUCAGGAGGAACACCAAUAGCGAAGGCAGCUCGCUGGGACGGUACUGACGCUAAGGCGCGAAAGCGUGGGGAGCGAACAGG